ensembl:lncRNA
AUGCAGAUGAGAGUGCACAAAGCCAUCCCUCUCGAGGUGAUUGGUGUCAGCAGGGCUGCUAUUAUCCUUGCUGUGUUGCUUUCUAAGAAAGGUAAAGACGUUCUCUGCUUGUCAUAUCCAGUAGGUAAAUGUAACUGCUCUUAUCCUUUAAUUCUCUGUUUCUCAAUUCUUAUUACCAAUCAGAUUGCAAGAAACAGUAGCCACAAAGGAGAUGCCAUCCAUCCUCCUGACCUCACUCUUCAAACUGUGGCCUUUGAAAUUCUGCAGAAUAUAGGUGGAAGUAGUGAACUGGCUGCAACCUCAAGGCUUAAGAAGCAUUCACUUGUGUUUCCACUUGCUACUUGUGUUGCUACUGUCAUCAAGAGAAGGGAAACACCUGAUGGAGCAUCAGGAACUGAGGCUGAAGGCAAAUCAACAAAGGACAGCAAAAUGCACGGGAGACUUGGUGCACAGAUGCUCACUAAUGGAGGAUUCUCUCCUCAUGAUGGAGACACUGAAUUAUGCCAACUCAUAGACAAGAUUCUGAACUGUAUUUCUAUAGUACAUCAGUCCUAUGGCUGUUAUAAAUAUUGCAUUAAAACAGAUUUUGAUGUUUAAGAAAAUUAAGCCCAAAGAACAGAGUAUCUCAUAACUUUUAGGCUUUUGAUGAAGAUAAAUUCAUAUACCACAUUUAAAAUACACAAAAAUAGGGC